AGACAGAGGUGCCGAGCGUUAGGCGGAAUCACUGGGCUUAAAGCGCGUGUAGGCGGACCGUUAAGUGCCCGUGUGAAAUCCCCCGGCUCAACCGGGGAACGGCCGGGCAUACUGGCGGUCUUUGGCCACCCAGGGGUCACCGGAACAGGCGGGGGAGCGGGGGAAAGCGGAGAUAUCGCCUGGAACGCCGACGGUGAAAACAGGUGACUGGGGGUGUGCCGACGCUGAGGCGCGAAAGCCAGGGGAGCGAACGGGAUUAGAUACCCCGGUAGUCCUGGCCCUAAACGAUGUCCACUAGGUCGUGGCGGCGUUUGACCGCCGUCGCGGCCGAAGCAAAAGUGCUAAGUGGACCGCCUGGGAAGUACGGUCGCAAGGUUGAAACUCAAAUGAAUUGACGGGG
rnacentral:rRNA from 1 species